CCUACGGGGGGCAGCAGUGGGGAAUAUUGGACAAUGGGGGGAACCCUGAUCCAGCCAUGCCGCGUGUGUGAAGAAGGCCCUCGGGUUGUAAAGCACUUUCAGUGAGGAAGAACGCCUGGUGGUUAAUACCCAUCAGGAAAGACAUCACUCACAGAAGAAGCACCGGCUAACUCCGUGCCAGCAGCCGCGGUAAUACGGAGGGUGCGAGCGUUAAUCGGAAUUACUGGGCGUAAAGCGCGCGUAGGUGGCUUGAUAAGCCGGUUGUGAAAGCCCCGGGCUCAACCUGGGAACGGCAUCCGGAACUGUCAAGCUAGAGGGCAGGAGAGGAAGGUAGAAUUCCCAGUGUAGCGGUGAAAUGCGUAGAGAUCGGGAGGAAUACCAGUGGCGAAGGCGGCCUUCUGGACUGACACUGACACUGAGGUGCGAAAGCGUGGGUAGCAAACAGGAUUAGAUACCCGAGUAGUC
rnacentral:rRNA from 1 species